UACGAAGGGGGCUAGCGUUGUUCGGAAUCACUGGGCGUAAAGCGCACGUAGGCGGAUUGCUAAGUCAGGGGUGAAAUCCUGGAGCUCAACUCCAGAACUGCCUUUGAUACUGGCGAUCUUGAGUCCGGGAGAGGUGAGUGGAACUGCGAGUGUAGAGGUGAAAUUCGUAGAUAUUCGCAAGAACACCAGUGGCGAAGGCGGCUCACUGGCCCGGUACUGACGCUGAGGUGCGAAAGCGUGGGGGAGCAAACAGG
rnacentral:rRNA from 1 species